rnacentral:misc_RNA from 1 species
GAUGAAGAACGUAGUGAAAUGCGAUAAGUAAUGUGAAUUGCAGAAUUCAGUGAAUCAUCGAAUCUUUGAACGCACAUUGCGCCCGGUAGUAUUCUGCCGGGCAUGCCUGUUCGAGCGUCAUUUCAACCAUCAAGCCCCAGCGCUUGUGUUGGGGGCCUGCGGCUGCCGCAGCCCCCUAAAAGCAGUGGCGGGCUCGCUUUCACACCGAGUGCAGUAGUUCAUCUUCUCUCCGGUCUUGUGAGGCGGGUUCCGGCCGUGAAACACCCCACUACAUUCAAGGUUGACCUCGGAUCAGGUAGGAAUACCCGCUGAACUUAAGCAUAUCAAUAAGCGGAGGA